rnacentral:rRNA from 1 species
GAUGAACGCUGGCGGCGUGCUUAACACAUGCAAGUCGAACGAAGCACUCUAUUUGAUUUUCUUCGGAAAUGAAGAUUUUGUGACUGAGUGGCGGACGGGUGAGUAACGCGUGGGUAACCUGCCUCAUACAGGGGGAUAACAGUUGGAAACGACUGCUAAUACCGCAUAAGCGCACAGGAUCGCAUGGUCCGGUGUGAAAAACUCAGGUGGUAUGAGAUGGACCCGCGUCUGAUUAGCCAGUUGGCAGGGUAACGGCCUACCAAAGCGACGAUCAGUAGCCGACCUGAGAGGGUGACCGGCCACAUUGGGACUGAGACACGGCCCAAACUCCUACGGGAGGCAGCAGUGGGGAAUAUUGCACAAUGGGGGAAACCCUGAUGCAGCGACGCCGCGUGAGCGAAGAAGUAUUUCGGUAUGUAAAGCUCUAUCAGCAGGGAAGAAGAAUGACGGUACCUGACUAAGAAGCA